rnacentral:rRNA from 1 species
UACGUAGGGUGCGAGCGUUAAUCGGAAUUACUGGGCGUAAAGCGUGCGCAGGCGGCGGCUCAAGUCAGGUGUGAAAUCCCCGGGCUUAACCUGGGAAUUGCGCUUGAAACUAGGUCGCUAGAGUGUGGCAGAGGGGGGUGGAAUUCCACGUGUAGCAGUGAAAUGCGCAGAUAUCGGGAGGAACACCAGUAGCGAAGGCGGCUCGCUGGGCCACACCUGACGCUGAGACGCGAAAGCUAGGGGAGCGAACAGG